GACGAACGCUGGCGGCGUGCCUAAUACAUGCAAGUAGAACGCUGAAGAGAGGAGCUUGCUCUUCUUGGAUGAGUUGCGAACGGGUGAGUAACGCGUAGGUAACCUGCCUUGUAGCGGGGGAUAACUAUUGGAAACGAUAGCUAAUACCGCAUAACAAUGGAUGACACAUGUCAUUUAUUUGAAAGGGGCAAUUGCUCCACUACAAGAUGGACCUGCGUUGUAUUAGCUAGUAGGUGAGGUAACGGCUCACCUAGGCGACGAUACAUAGCCGACCUGAGAGGGUGAUCGGCCACACUGGGACUGAGACACGGCCCAGACUCCUACGGGAGGCAGCAGUAGGGAAUCUUCGGCAAUGGGGGCAACCCUGACCGAGCAACGCCGCGUGAGUGAAGAAGGUUUUCGGAUCGUAAAGCUCUGUUGUAAGUCAAGAACGAGUGUGAGAGUGGAAAGUUCACACUGUGACGGUAGCUUACCAGAAAGGGACGGCUAACUACGUGCCAGCAGCCGCGGUAAUACGUAGGUCCCGAGCGUUGUCCGGAUUUAUUGGGCGUAAAGCGAGCGCAGGCGGUUUGAUAAGUCUGAAGUUAAAGGCUGUGGCUCAACCAUAGUUCGCUUUGGAAACUGUCAAACUUGAGUGCAGAAGGGGAGAGUGGAAUUCCAUGUGUAGCGGUGAAAUGCGUAGAUAUAUGGAGGAACACCGGCGGCGAAAGCGGCUCUCUGGUCUGUAACUGACGCUGAGGCUCGAAAGCGUGGGGAGCGAACAGGAUUAGAUACCCUGGUAGUCCACGCCGUAAACGAUGAGUGCUAGGUGUUGGAUCCUUUCCGGGAUUCAGUGCCGCAGCUAACGCAUUAAGCACUCCGCCUGGGGAGUACGACCGCAAGGUUGAAACUCAAAGGAAUUGACGGGGGCCCGCACAAGCGGUGGAGCAUGUGGUUUAAUUCGAAGCAACGCGAAGAACCUUACCAGGUCUUGACAUCCCGAUGCUAUUUCUAGAGAUAGAAAGUUACUUCGGUACAUCGGUGACAGGUGGUGCAUGGUUGUCGUCAGCUCGUGUCGUGAGAUGUUGGGUUAAGUCCCGCAACGAGCGCAACCCCUAUUGUUAGUUGCCAUCAUUCAGUUGGGCACUCUAGCGAGACUGCCGGUAAUAAACCGGAGGAAGGUGGGGAUGACGUCAAAUCAUCAUGCCCCUUAUGACCUGGGCUACACACGUGCUACAAUGGUUGGUACAACGAGUUGCGAGUCGGUGACGGCAAGCUAAUCUCUUAAAGCCAAUCUCAGUUCGGAUUGUAGGCUGCAACUCGCCUACAUGAAGUCGGAAUCGCUAGUAAUCGCGGAUCAGCACGCCGCGGUGAAUACGUUCCCGGGCCUUGUACACACCGCCCGUCA
rnacentral:rRNA from 1 species